rnacentral:rRNA from 1 species
CGAGCAUGUGAAUGUGAGCAAAUCCCAAAAAUAACGUCUCAGUUCGGAUUGUAGUCUGCAACUCGACUACAUGAAGCUGGAAUCGCUAGUAAUCGCGAAUCAGAAUGUCGCGGUGAAUACGUUCCCGGGUCUUGUACACACCGCCCGUCACACCAUGGGAGUCAGUAACGCCCGAAGCCGGUGACCCAACCAAACGGAGGGAGCCGUCGAAGGUGGGACCGAUAACUGGGGUGAAGUCGUAACAAGGUAAC